GCCCCUGUGGCGGAAAUGGCAGACGCACGCGACUCAAACUCGCGGGCCCGCUAGGGCGUGCAGGUUCAAGUCCUGCCAGGGGUA
rfam:Kibdelosporangium aridum strain DSM 43828 genome assembly, contig: LX79DRAFT_scaffold00001.1